rnacentral:ncRNA from 2 species
AGUCGAAAUCCGCUAAGGAGUGUGUA